GCAUGACCAGCGUAAAAGCCCCUCCCAAAAUGAUUGACACCAAAGGAGGCUUCAUUUUAGAAGAGGAGGAAGAAGAGGAACACAAGAUUGCAAAUGUAGUUCAUGAGCCAGGGCCCGUCAUGGAGUUUGAUUAUGCGAUUUGUGAAGAAUGUGGGAAAGAAUUCAUGGACUCAUAUCUUAUGAACCACUUUGAUUUGCCAACAUGUGAUAGCUGCAGAGAUGCUGAUGACAAACACAAGCUGAUAACCAAAACAGAAGCCAAGCAGGAAUACCUUCUGAAAGACUGCGAUUUAGAGAAGAGAGAGCCUGCGCUUAGGUUUAUCGUGAAGAAGAACCCUCGUCACUCACAGUGGGGCGAUAUGAAGCUCUACUUAAAGUUACAGGUUGUGAAGCGGGCUCUGGAAGUUUGGGGUAGCCAGGACGCGCUGGAAGACGCGAAGGAAGUGAGGCAGGAAAACCGAGAGAAAAUGAAGCAGAAGAAGUUUGAUAAAAAAGUAAAAGGUUUGCACCAUCCCUCCUUACAGCAGUGCAGCAGCCUAAUACAAGAUAAAGCAAUGAAGAGGUGCAUUAAGCAAGGGGUGUGGAAGGAGGCUUCCAGUGCUUGGUGGAUCUUUCCCUGUCCUGACCAGGCCACAGAGGGCUGAGUGGAGUAGACUGUAGAGUAGAAACAAGGAGCUGAUUGCAGUUUGCUCAGAACAGAGAGGAAGCAAAGCAAUUCUAAAGGCUUUUUAGUUGGAAAGAAAUUGGAACAUGGUUCCUCUUGAUGCACAGCGAAGCUGACAUAAAGCUUUCUUCUUUAUGGGAAGGAGAGGCAGUCUUUGGGCAUCAGCUGUCUACUGCCAACAGGACCAGGAGGCUGCAGCAUGGCAAGCCACACACCAUUUGGUGCUCCAGCCUCGCACAGGCCCCAGUUUGUAGCAUAUGCACCCUGGGUCCUUUCCCA